rnacentral:rRNA from 1 species
AGGGGAAUAUUGCACAAUGGGCGCAAGCCUGAUGCAGCCAUGCCGCGUGUAUGAAGAAGGCCUUCGGGUUGUAAAGUACUUUCAGUCGGGAGGAAGGUGUCAAGGUUAAUAACCUUGGCAAUUGACGUUACCGACAGAAGAAGCACCGGCUAACUCCGUGCCAGCAGCCGCGGUAAUACGGAGGGUGCAAGCGUUAAUCGGAAUUACGGGGCAUAAAGCGCACGCAGGCGGUUGAUUGAGUCAGAUGUGAAAUCCCCGGGCUUAACCCGGUAAUUGCUUCUGAAACUUGUCAGCUAGAGUCUUGUAGAGGGUGGUAGAAUUCCAUGUGUAGCGGUCAAAUGCGUAGAGAUGUGGCACCAUACCGGUGGCGAAGGCGGCCCCCUGGACAAAGACUGACGCUCAGGUGCGACAGCGUGGGGAUCAAACAGG